CCAGGGGGCCGGGCAGCCGCGUCUUUCGCAAGAAGGCCGAGGAAAGUCCGGGCUCCACGAAACAAGGGUGGCGGGUAACGCCCGCCGGAGGCAACUCCAGGGAAAGUGCCACAGAGAGCAGACCGCCAGCGGGGCUUCGGUCCCAAGGCAAGGGUGAAAGGGUGCGGUAAGAGCGCACCGCGCCGCCGGUAACGGUGGCGGCAAGGCAAACCCCACCCGGAGCAAGACCGAAUAGGGGCGGCGCGCCAAGGCUUCGGCCAAGGCUGGUGUGUUUCGCACCGAUCGCCCGGGUUGGUUGCUGGAGCGGCAUGGCAACAUGUCGCCAAGAGGAAUGGCUGCCAGUGCGGAUACGGUCUCUCAUGGGAUACCGUCCGCGCUACAGAACCCGGCUUACAGGCCCCCUGGCGCA
rnacentral:RNase_P_RNA from 1 species